AUUACCCAAUCCCGACACGGGGAGGUAGUGACAAUAAAUAACAAUACAGGGUCCUUUCGGGUCCUGUAAUUGGAAUGAGUACAAUUUAAAUACCUUAACGAGGAACAAUUGGAGGGCAAGUCUGGUGCCAGCAGCCGCGGUAAUUCCAGCUCCAAUAGCGUAUAUUAAAGUUGCUGCAGUUAAAAAGCCCGUAGUCGAACUUCAGACCUGGCCGGGCGGUCUGCCUCACGGUACGUACUGUCCGGCUGGGCCUUACCUCUUGGUGAGCCGGCAUGCCCUUCACUGGGUGUGUCGGGGAACCAGGACUUUUACCUUGAGAAAAUUAGAGUGUUCAAAGCAGGCCUAUGCCCGAAUACAUUAGCAUGGAAUAAUAGAAUAGGACGUGCGGUUCUAUUUUGUUGGUUUCUAGAGUCGCCGUAAUGAUUAAUAGGGACAGUCGGGGGCAUUGGUAUUCAGGCGCUAGAGGUGAAAUUCUUGGAUUGCCUGAAGACUAACUACUGCGAAAGCAUUUGCCAAGGAUGUUUUCAUUGAUCAAGGACGAAGGUUAGGGGCUCGAAAACGAUCAGAUACCGUUGUAGUCUUAACAGUAAACUAUGCCGACUAGGGAUCGGGCGACCUCAAUAUGAUGUGUCGCUCGGCACCUUACGAGAAAUCAAAGUCUUU
rnacentral:rRNA from 1 species